rnacentral:rRNA from 1 species
UACGUAGGGGGCUAGCGUUGUCCGGAAUCAUUGGGCGUAAAGCGCGUGUAGGCGGCCCGGUAAGUCCGCUGUGAAAGUCGGGGGCUCAACCCUCGGAUGCCGGUGGAUACUGUCGGGCUUGAGUACGGAAGAGGCGAGUGGAAUUCCUGGUGUAGCGGUGAAAUGCGCAGAUAUCGGGAAGAACACCCGUGGCUAAGGCGGCUACUCUAGUACGGUACUGACGCUGAGACGCGAAAGCGUGGGGAGCGAACAGGA